GAUCAAGCAAUAUUUAAUAUUCUUAUUCAUAUAAGGAAUGUCCAAAAAGAAUCGGAGAAGGAAAGAGGUGGAACAAUCUUAGUGUGCAAUUCAAAUCCAACAAGAGAAAGAAAAGUCUAUUUAGAAGAUCUUUUUGAGAAGUUGAUUGCUACUAGGAAAUUGAAUCCUACAUGGAAAGGGAAUCAAAGUGUCCAAGUUCAAUGAAUCUAAAUUAGGGUUCAAAGUUAUUUUUCCUAUAAAUAGGCCUCUUGUUUUAGAGAAAGGCACCACUUGUUAUUUUCUUUUUCUUAGUUUUUCACUAGUGUAGGAAGGAGUAAGAUAUUUAGAGUUUGUCCUUUCUCUUAUUCCAAUCAGUUGUGGUACUACUGUCAAGGAGUAUUUGUCACUUUCUUUUAUUUAUAUAAUAGAAAUUCUCUUUUUAAUUAUUGUUCUGAUUUCAUGCGAAUAGUAGUACUAAUAUUAUUUAUUUUUAUUUUUAAUUCCAU
rnacentral:lncRNA from 1 species